rnacentral:rRNA from 1 species
UACGUAGGGGGCGAGCGUUGUCCGGAUUCAUUGGGCGUAAAGCGCUUUAAGGCGGUUCGGUAAGUCGGGUGUGAAACCUCCAGGCUCAACCUGGAGACGCCACUCGAUACUGCUGUGACUAGAGUUCGGUAGGGAUCACGGAAUUCCUGGAUGUAGCGGUGAAAUGCGCAGAUAUCAGGAGGAACACCGGUGGCGAAGGCGGUGAUCUGGGCCGACACUGACGCUGUAGAGCGAAAGCGUGGGAGCAAACAGG